rnacentral:misc_RNA from 1 species
CGUCACUGCAUUACGGGCUGAUGGAUUUGAAUGUAAUACUUGUCCACCAGAAGCUGAAGUAGAAGGAAAUACUUGGAAGGACAUCAACUUAGAUCAACGCUCCAGGGAAAAGCAAAUGAGCAACUCAAAUGGAAAUUUUCAUGCUGUUCCCAAACUUGGAAGCAGCAGCCACUCUGUUCAACAUGAUAUUCGCUCCCCAGAACGAGUGGAUGCUCUUCCAAGGCGAAGCCGUAGACCUUUCCAUGGAUGGAUUAGUAGUGAUGAUGAGGAGGAACUUGUGGAACUAACACCAGCACCAUUGCACGAGACAUUAGCAAAGAUAUUAUAUACAACAGAUGUUUCCAAGAAUCGCAAGAGAAACUAGUUUAAUC